GACAAACGCUGGCGGCGUGCCUAACACAUGCAAGUCGAACGAGUGUAGCAAUACACGAGUGGCGGACGGGUGAGUAACGCGCGAGCAAUCUGCCUCUGUCAGCGGGAUAACACAUUGAAAAGUGUGCUAAUACCGCAUAACGUCAAUUAAAGACAUCUUUGAUUGACCAAAGAUUUUAUCGGACAGAGAUGAGCUCACGUCCCAUUAGGUAGUUGGUGAGGUAAAGGCCCACCAAUCCUGCGAUGGGUAGCCGACCUGAGAGGGUAAUCGGCCACAUUGGAACUGAGAAACGGUCCAGACUCCUACGGGAGGCAGCAGUGGGGAAUAUUGGGCAAUGGAGGCAACUCUGACCCAGCAACGCCGCGUGAAUGAUGAAGGUCUUCGGAUUGUAAAGUUCUGUGAUGGGGAACGAAGAAAGUGACGGUACCCCAAGAGCAAGCUACGGCUAACUACGUGCCAGCAGCCGCGGUAAUACGUAGGUAGCAAGCGUUGUCCGGAAUGACUGGGCGUAAAGGGUGCGUAGGUGGUUAUGCAAGUUGGUGGUGAAAUUCCGGGGCUCAACUCCGGCGCUACCACCAAAACUGUGUAACUUGAGUACAGGAGGGGUAAGCGGAAUUCCUAGUGUAGCGGUGAAAUGCGUAGAUAUUAGGAAGAACACCGGUGGCGAAAGCGGCUUACUGGCCUGCAACUGACACUGAAGCACGAAAGCGUGGGGAGCAAACAGGAUUAGAUACCCUGGUAGUCCACGCCGUAAACGAUGAUUACUAGGUAUGGGAGGUAUCGACUCCUUCCGUGCCGGAGCUAACGCAAUAAGUAAUCCGCCUGGGGAGUACGGCCGCAAGGUUGAAACUCAAAGAAAUUGACGGGGACCCGCACAAGCAGCGGAGCAUGUGGUUUAAUUCGACGCAACGCGAAAAACCUUACCAGGUCUUGACAUCCUUUGACCGCCUGAGAGAUCAGGAAUCUCUAGCAAUAGAGCAAAGAGACAGGUGGUGCAUGGUUGUCGUCAGCUCGUGUCGUGAGAUGUUCGGUUAAGUCCGACAACGAGCGCAACCCUUGUAUACAGUUGCCAAUAUUAAGUUAGGAACUCUGUAUAAACUGCCGUGGCUAACACGGAGGAAGGUGGGGAUGACGUCAAAUCAUCACGCCCCUUACGACCUGGGCCACACACGUGCUACAAUGGCUAUUACAAAGAGCAGCGAAACCGUAAGGCGGAGCCAAUCUCAAAAAAAUAGUCUCAGUUCAGAUUGUGGGCUGCAACUCGCCCACAUGAAGUCGGAGUUGCUAGUAAUCCCGGAUCAGCAUGCCGGGGUGAAUGCGUUCCCGGGUCUUGUACACACCGCCCGUCACGCCAUGGGAGUUUGGAGUACCCAAAGUCAACAGCCUAACCGCAAGGAGGGAGUUGCCCAAGGUAAUACAAAUGACUGGGGUG
rnacentral:rRNA from 1 species